rnacentral:rRNA from 1 species
AUGGUUGAUGAGGUAAUAUUGAUGGGGUGUCGAGAAUGGGAAAAAGAAGAUGGCCUGGAUGAGCUGGGACAGAAUGAUGCUACCAAAGCCUAUGGGAGGCAUGGCAUGCGAGCUUUCAACCAGGCCUUGUUGGCCAAACAAGCCUGGCGCUUGCUGGACUCGCCUGGAAGUUUAUGUGCACGAUUACUGAAGGCUAAAUAUUACCCUUCAGGUCAUAUUCUGGACACUGUUUUUUCAGGCAAUGGCUCCGCGGUGUGGAAAGGUAUAUUGCAUGGUCUUGAGCUUUUCAAAAAUGGUGUUAUUUGGCGGGUGGGGAACGGAGCUGCAAUACGGACAUGGAGAGACCCAUGGAUACCGCGUCCCUCUUCAUUCCGGCCAAUCUCCCCUAAAGGUACUUGUCGUCUAAAUUGUGUUUCUGAUUUC